GGAUCAAUAUUACCUCUUGUUUUCAGGUCGAUUUGGUGCAACUGGAUAGAUGAUGAAGAUGAGGGUUAACAGUUGAUUAUGGUGAUGAUAUAACUCGUUGCCUUCUCUUCAUCUUAGAUUAGGUUUGUGUUGGAGAUAUUCCAUGACCUUCAUGAAGAAGUGAUGACGACUUCAGCUAGAGGUCAUGGACUAAUGACUCUCCUUCAGCAGGUCGUGGCAGAUGUCCCACUGUUUGAGAGAGCAUUGCUUUCACAGACUACGCGCUCCCAGUUCCUUCAUAAUGGAGGGAUUGCCUGGCAUACAUUAGAGUGGACAAGAAUUAGAUUACUCGGGGAGAUUUGCACCGAUUUAUAAUGGAUUCUUAUGAAGAAUGUUGAGGUUUGAUACUGCAGGUGUUGGUGCUUGCUUAAUGAGAUAUUCUGAUCCUUCAUUUUAAAAGCCCUCUUCUGGAACAACAGAAAUAGAAGGUAUGUACUGUUGUUGGCUUGAAGGUCAGAUAGGUUUGAAGUUAUGGAGUGUAUGAACUGCAAUGGUGGAGCAACAUGGAAGUGGUCUUGAAGUGAUGAAGAGAGAAUAGGAACUGAAGAGGUUUUCAAGAAGGGAUGAAUGAGUUAUUCUCAGUUAGAUGUAUGCUUAGAAUGAAGCGCCAUCAUGGCUGCUGUGAAGCAGUAAUGCGCCAUCAUGGCGCAACAAAGCUUUGGCUUGUGCAAGUGGUCUAGGCCUAUGCCAGUUAAACCCCAGACUUAGCUGACUCCCUUGACCGUUAGUCAUCUAUCAACUUUAAUGGUUGGCCGUUAGUUUGACUCCGGAUCAAAGUGUCCGGCGACCCAAUUUCCGGUUACCUGAGAUACCAGUUUUGCGGCAACUAUUUUUGGGCAGCUUUUUCUACUAGGCUAUUUUCACACACGGGUUUGAUGGGCCCGGUGGAUUUGACCUACUUUUUAAAACAAGGAGAAUAUAAAAGGCAAAGUCUUCUGCUUUUUUAGGAAUUUUUUUUUUUCUUUUUCUUUUUUUGACAACUACAAUCUGGAGCUUUUGGAGAGAGCCCA